AGCAGCCGCGGUAAUUCCAGCUCCAAUAGCGUAUAUUAAAGUUGUUGCAGUUAAAAAGCUCGUAGUUGAAUUUCGGGAUCAAUUUAUCGGUCGUGCCAAUGGUAUGAACUGGUACAAUUGGUUUCUCCCUUCUGACGAAGCAUGAUGUCAUUAAUUUGGUGUCGUGGGGAAUCAGGACUGUUACUUUGAAAAAUUAGAGUGUUUAAAGCAAGCAUUAGCUUGAAUACAUUAGCAUGGAAUAAUGAAAUAGGAUGUUUGAUCCUAUUUCGUUGGUUUCUAGGAUCGACGUAAUGAUUAAUAGGGAUAGUUGGGGGCAUUAGUAUUCAAUUGUCAGAGGUGAAAUUCUUGGAUUUAUUGAAGACUAAACUUCUGCGAAAGCAUUUGCCAAGGAUGUUUUCAUUAAUCAAGAACGAAAGUUAGGGGAUCGAAGACGAUCAGAUACCGUCGUAG
rnacentral:rRNA from 1 species